CCUACGGGCGCUGCAGUGGGGAAUAUUGGACAAUGGGCGAAAGCCUGAUCCAGCCAUGCCGCGUGUGUGAAGAAGGCCUUCGGGUUGUAAAGCACUUUCAGUGGGGAAGAAAGCCUUGGGGCUAAUACCCUCGAGGAAGGACAUCACCCACAGAAGAAGCACCGGCUAACUCCGUGCCAGCAGCCGCGGUAAUACGGAGGGUGCGAGCGUUAAUCGGAAUUACUGGGCGUAAAGCGCGCGUAGGCGGUCUGAUAAGCCGGUUGUGAAAGCCCCGGGCUCAACCUGGGAACGGCAUCCGGAACUGUCAGACUAGAGUGCAGGAGAGGAAGGUAGAAUUCCCGGUGUAGCGGUGAAAUGCGUAGAGAUCGGGAGGAAUACCAGUGGCGAAGGCGGCCUUCUGGACUGACACUGACGCUGAGGUGCGAAAGCGUGGGUAGCAAACAGGAUUAGAUACCCCGGUAGUC
rnacentral:rRNA from 1 species